UACGUAGGGUGCGAGCGUUGUCCGGAUUUAUUGGGCGUAAAGAGCUCGUAGGCGGUUUGUCGCGUCGGCCGUGAAAUCUCCACGCUUAACGUGGAGCGUGCGGUCGAUACGGGCAGACUUGAGUUCGGUAGGGGAGACUGGAAUUCCUGGUGUAGCGGUGAAAUGCGCAGAUAUCGGGAGGAACACCUAUGGCGAAGGCAGCUCGCUGGGACGGUACUGACGCUGAGACGCGAAAGCGUGGGGAGCAAACAGG
rnacentral:rRNA from 1 species